GAAAACAAGAAAUUUCAAGUUACUCAGGAGUAAACUUCCAGUGAUAAAGUAAAUUGUUCACCCAGCAUUGGGGAAAUUGCUCAGCAGUGUUACACACCCAGUGUCAAGUACAGCAAAGAAGCCCAGGCAAGGGGACUGACUGUCAGUGGUUUCUUGGUGAUUCAGAGCACACUUUCCCCAAAGCCAAUUUCUGGCUGGUGGGAGUCCUUACUUUUCCUCACGCUGGGGAUUGUUUACCACUGCAAGGAUCAUGAACUCUCUCCAUAAGUGAUGAGAAAACUUAGUGGUAUGGUUUGGAUAAGUGUCCCCCAAAGGCUCAUAUGUUAAGGGUUUUGUCACUAGUCUACGGCAUUAUUGGAAUGAGGUGGUACCCUUAAGAAGUGAUGCUUUGUUGCAGGAAGUUAGAUCACUGGGGGCAUGCUCUUGUAGGGGAUAUAUGAACCCUGAU
rnacentral:lncRNA from 1 species